ACGUCUAUUGAAAGGAGAGACGGUUUGCAGUCUUGACAAGGAUGGAACACGUAAAUUGGUUAAGGCACAAAUUAUCCAACAUCUUUAU